rnacentral:rRNA from 1 species
AGUGAACGCUGGCGGCAGGCCUAACACAUGCAAGUCGAGCGGCAGCGCGGGGGCAACCCUGGCGGCGAGCGGCGGACGGGUGAGGAAUUCGUCGGAAUCUGCCUUUUUGUGGGGGAUAACGUAGGGAAACUUAUGCUAAUACCGCAUACGUCCUACGGGAGAAAGUGGGGGACCGCAAGGCCUCACGCAGAAAGAUGAGCCGACGACCGAUUAGCUAGUUGGUGGGGUAAAGGCCCACCAAGGCGACGAUCGGUAGCUGGUCUGAGAGGAUGAUCAGCCACACUGGAACUGAGACACGGCCCAGACUCCUACGGGAGGCAGCAGUGGGGAAUAUUGGACAAUGGGCGCAAGCCUGAUCCAGCCAUGCCGCGUGUGUGAAGAAGGCCUUCGGGUUGUAAAGCACUUUUGUCCGGAAAGAAAUCCCUGAAGCUAAUACCUUCGGGGGAUGACGGUACCGGAAGAAUAAGCACCGGCUAACUUCGUG